ensembl:snRNA U2 U2 spliceosomal RNA
ACUGAUUCUCAGUUUUUGGUCUAAGAUCAAGUUUAGUAUCUGUUUUUAAUCAGUUUCAUACCUGAUAUGUCCUCUAUCUGAGGACAAUAUAUUAAAUGGAUUUUUGGAAGUAGCAGUUGGAAUAGGAGCUUACUUUGUCCACUCCAUGAAUUGACAUGGUAUUGUAGUACCUCCAGGAACAGUGCACAAAAA